rnacentral:rRNA from 1 species
CCUACGGGUGGCAGCAGUGGGGAAUAUUGCACAAUGGGGGAGACCCUGAUGCAGCGACGCCGCGUGAGUGAAGAAGUAAUUCGGUAUGUAAAGCUCUAUCAGCAGGGAAGAAAAUGACGGUACCUGAGUAAGAAGCCCCGGCUAACUACGUGCCAGCAGCCGCGGUAAUACGUAGGGGGCAAGCGUUAUCCGGAUUUACUGGGUGUAAAGGGAGCGUAGACGGCAGUGCAAGUCUGUAGUGAAAGGCUGGGGCUCAACCCCCGGACUGCUAUUGAAACUGUACGGCUGGAGUGCAGGUGAGGUAAGUGGAAUUCCUGGUGUAGCGGUGAAAUGCGUAGAUAUUAGGAGGAACACCAGUGGCGAAGGCGGCUUACUGGACUGUAACUGACGUUGAGGCUCGAAAGCGUGGGAAGCAAACAGGAUUAGAUACCCGAGUAGUC